rnacentral:lncRNA from 1 species
AGCAACAAACAUUUCCACCACAACAGCCAUAUCCGCAGCCGCAACCAUUUCCAGCGCAACAACCAUAUCCGCAGCCGCAACUAUUUCCACAGCCGCAACCUUUUCCGCCACAACUUCCAUAUCCGAAGCCGCAACCAUUUCCCCCACAACAACCAUAUCCACAACCGCAAACACAGCAUCUGCAACCACAACAACCAAUUUCGCAGCAACAAGCACAACAACAACAACAACAACAACAACAAAUCCUUCAACAAAUCCUUCAACAAAUUCUGCAACAACAACAACUGAUUCCAUGCAGGGAUGUCAUCGUCUUGCAACUACACAACAUAGCGCAUGAAAGCUCACAAGUAUUGCAGCAAAGUAGUUACCAAGUGUUGCAACAAUUAUGUUGUCAGCAGUUGUGGCAGAUCCCCGAGCUGUCGCGGUGCCAAGCCAUCCACAAUGUCGUUCAUGCUAUUAUUCUGCAUCAACAACAACAACAACAACAACAAGAACAACAUCAACCGUCGAGCCAGGUCUCCUACCAGCAGCCUCAGUAACAAUAUCCAUCAGGCCAGGGCUCCUUCCAGCCAUCUCAGCAAAAUCCACAGGCCCAGGGCUUUGUCCAACCUCAACGUCUGCCCCAGCUCAAGGAAAUAAGGAACCUAGCGCUGCAGACGCUACCAGCAAUGUGCAAUGUCUACAUCCCUCCAUAUUGCUCGACCACCAUUGCGCCAUUUGGCAUCUUCGGUACUAACUGAGAAGAGAAGAACUCUAGUACUAGAUAUAUGAAACACCGUGUUCUUAGUCCAUGGUUUGGUCGUUGUACCGUUGAAAAUAUAAGGUGACAUGCACUAUCAUGUAAGAACCCGAACUAUACUAGUUCAAACUUGGGAAUAAAAGACAAACACAUGUCUUGUCUGCAUAUGAUUGUUUAUUUGAGUUCCAUUCCUGUGCCCAUUCACAAGUUCACCCCUAAUUAUAUAUAUUACACAUUAAGUAGAUAUUUAUGUUGCAUUAAUCUGAAGAUAACAAAAUGAGUCUGAAACUUGAAUUAAAUUGAAGUAUUUUCUUGGACUUUCAAAUUGUGUAUUAUUAAAGUAGUAAGGACUAUCCACAUCCUUGGCUUGCCCUUGAUCAAUUAUUCCCAGAGAAGCUUUCAGUUCAUAAAUCAAUUACAUUGAUUUUUGUGAAUGGUACAUCUCCUCAUCACGAGUAUCAUUACAGCUACUCCAAAUCGCCCACAUAACCGAAGCAUUAAUAGCGCCCUUCUUGCAUCCGGAAAUAUGGAUCGAAGAUAUCACUUGACCAUGUUUCCAGGUGCAACCUUGGGAUUUUUAUGUCAAAAUAUUCUCAAGCAGAAUCCAAGAAUAAACUUGCAUGCUCACGUGUGAUGAGGGCAGAUGAAGUAACAUUUCCUCCCCAUGGCCAGACAUAGGGCACACACAUAACCCCAUCACAUGCCUUUUUAGUUAUGCAUAUGAAAGGUAGGAUGUUUUUAAUUACUCUCCACCAAAAUACUCUUAACUUGGCUUGUACCCUAAGAUUUCGUUGCCUUUUCAAUUGUUCUUCCCCAUUAGACAAACUAGACAGUCCAUCUACCACACCGUACCUUGUGUCCAUCAUUGCUCUGUACAACAAUUGAACAGAACAAAUGUCAUUUCUUUACGAUACCCACGACCAAAUGUCCCCUGUGGAUUGUUUGGUCGUGGCAUAUUAAGGAUGGCCACCUCAUCUCAUGGGGUAAACACCUAAUGAAUGAAAGGAUUGUUCUAGUCGCCCGUGUUUUUCAUCGAUAAGAUCAUCUACAAGUUGGACCGGAGUUUCUCACAUGCAUCAUAGUGGUUUCAUUAGCGGUGUGCCCUGCACCCAUUUAUCACGUUGUAUCUCUGUAGUAUGUGCAUUCCCAAUUUGUCACAGCAUACCCUCCUUCAAACCUUCUUGCCCUUUCAGAUUAGCACGCCAAGUUAGCUAUGCACUAUGCGGGACCAGCAUUUGAAAAAAAAGAAUCUCAUUUCAUGGUAUCUUCCAUGGAGGACCCUCGUACAUGAGCUAUCUAGGUAGAAAUAGCCAUGUAUGUUUAGCAAACUUUGCAUAAGUGAAUAGAUCAAGGUCGUGGAACCCCAAGCCUCCAAUUACACACGGCCUCUCUACCAAUAAGAUCUCCAAAGACAUCAAGGAUACAGACAGCCAAAAAAGAAAAAAAGAAAAAAUACCCUGCCAUGGUGAUCAAUCACAAGCAUCAGCAGCACUCUAACCACCACCAAAGACAACGCCCAGAUUACAAAAAAAAAUUUAUCCAAAAACAAUGCCCCCAAGAAGGAAACAAUACACAAGCGUUGUCAUUGCCCGAUCGAAGAUCGUGGGUUUUCACCCUGGGAAUUUUUUGAGUUCACCCAAAAACAAGGCCAUUGCCAAGUACAACAAAUAUGGUCGAGACCUUGGGUUUUCACCCUAGGAACUGAGACUCGAUGCUCGAGGAGUACCAACAAAAAUGCAGUCCACUAGUGUUGCCGCCCCCACUUGGCGAGGCCACUGUUGCAAGUCACCAAACACCUGGCAUAUAGUUGUCAUCGCAUCCAAUACACCCUUCGGCCGAAGCUUCAAGACCUUGAUCCGUCUCCAACGUGUCUAUAAUUUUUGAUUGUUCCAUGCUAUUAUAUUAUCUGUUUUGGAUGUUUUAUAUGCAUUAUUAUGCUAUUUUAUAUGAUUUUUGGGACUAACCUAUUAAACUAGAGCCCAGUGUCAGUUCCUGUUUUUUCCUUGUUUUAGAGUUUCGUAGAAAAGGAGUACCAAACGGAGUCCAAAUGGAAUUAAACUUUUGCGAUGAUUUUUCUUAGACCAGAAGACAUCUAGAGGACUUGGAGUGCACGUUAGGAAAGCCACGAGGCGGCCACAACGACAGAGGCGCGCCCCCACCCUUGUGGGCCCCUCGUGACUCUACCGACAUAUUUCUUCCGCCUAUAUAUUCUCAAAUAUUCCAAAACAUACUAGGAGAGCCACAAAAACACUUUUCCACCGCCGCAACCUUCUGUACCCGUGAGAUCCCAUCUAGGGGCCUUUCCCGGCAUCCUGUCGGAGGGGGAUUCGAUCACUGAGGGCUUCUACAUCAACACCAUUGCCUCUCCGAUGAAGCGUGAGUAGUUUACCACAGACCUAUGGGUCCAUAGCUAGUAUCUAGAUGGCUUCUUCUCUCUCUUUGAUUCUCAAUACCAUGUUCUCCUCGAUGUUCUUGGAGAUCUAUUCGAUGUAAUACUAUUUUUGCGGUGUGUUUGCCGAGAUCCGAUGAAUUGUGGAUUUAUGAUCAGGUUAUCUAUGAAUAUUAUUUGAAUCUCCUAUGAAUUCUUAUAUGCAUGAUUUGAUAUCUUUGCAAGUCUCUUCGAACUAUCGAUUUGGUUUGGCCAACUAGAUUGGUUUUUCUUGCAAUGGGAGAAGUGCUUAACUUUGGGUUCAUUCAUGCGGUGCUCGAUCCCAGUGACAGAAGGGGAUGAUACGUCUCCAGCGUAUCUAUAAUUUUUGAUUGUUCCAUGCUAUUAUAUUAUCAACCUUGGAUGUUUUAUAUGCAUUUAUAUGCUAUUUUAUAUGAUUUUUGGGACUAACCUAUUAACCUAGAGCCCAGUGCUAGUGCCAGUUUCUGUUUUUUUCCUUGUUUUAGGGUUUCGAAGAAAAGGAAUAUCAAAUGGAGUCCAAAUGGAAUGAAACCUUCAGAAAAGUUAUUUUUGGAAAGAAAGUAAUACGGGAGACUUGGAGUGCACAUCUGGGGAUCAACGAGGAAGCCACGAGGCAGGGGGGCGCGCCCACCCCCCUUGGGCGUGCCCUCCACCCUCGUGGGCCCCUCGUGGCUCCCCAAAUGUAUUUCUUCCGCCUAUAUAUAUCCAUAUACCCCAAAACAAUUGGGGAGCACAAUAGAUCGGGAGUUCCGCCGCCAGAAGCCUCCGUAGCCACCGAAAGCUAAUCUAAACCCGUUCCGGCACCCUGCCGGAGGGGGAAUCCCUCUCCGGUGGCCAUCUUCAUCAUCCCGGUGCUCUCCAUGACGAGGAGGGAGUAGUUCUCCCUCGGGGCUGAGGGUAUGUACCAGUAGCUAUGUGUUUGAUCUCUCUCUCUCUCUCUCUCUCUCUCUCGUGUUCUUGAGGUGAUACGAUCUUGAUGUAUCGCGAGCUUUGCUAUUAGAGUUGGAUCUUAUGUUUCAUCUCCCCCUCUACUCUCUUGUAAUAGAUUGAGUUUCCCCUUCGAAGUUAUCUUAUCGGAUUGAGUCUUUAAAGAUUUGAGAACACUUGAUGUAUGUCUUGCCGCGCGUAUCUGUGGUGACAAUGGGAUAUCAUGUUAUUCACUUGAUGUAUGUUUUGGUGAUCAACAUGCGGGUUCCGCCCAUGAACCUAUGCAUAGGGGUUGGCACACGUUUUCGUCGUGAUUCUCCGGUAGAAACUUUGGGGCACUCUUUGAGGUUCUAUGUGUUGGUUGAAUAGAUGAAUCUAGAUUGUGUGAUGCAUAUCGUAUAAUCAUACCCACGGAUACUUGAGGUGACAAUGGAGUAUCUAGGUGACAUUAGGGUUUUGGUUGAUUUGUGUCUUAAGGUGUUAUUCUAGUACGAACUCUAGGGCUGUUUGUGACACUUAUAGGAAUAGCCCAAUGGAUUGAUUGGAAAGAAUAACUUUGAGGUGGUUUCGUACCCUACCAUAAUCUCUUCGUUCGUUCUCCGCUAUUAGUGACUUUGGAGUGACUCUUUGUUGCAUGUUGAGGGAUAAUUAUGUGAUCUAAUUAUGUUAUUAUUGUUGAGAGAACUUGCACUAGUGAAAGUAUGAACCCUAUGCCUUGUUUCAACGCAUUGCAAUACCGUUUACGCUCACUUUUAUCAUUAGUUACCUUGCUGUUUUUAUAUUUUCAAAUUACAAAAACCUUUAUCUACCAUCCAUAUACCACUUGUAUCACCAUCUCUUCGCCGAACUAGUGCACCUAUACAAUUUACCAUUGUAUUGGGUGUGUUGGGGACACAAGAGACUCUUUGUUAUUUGGUUGCAGGGUUGCUUGAGAGAGACCAUCUUCAUCCUACGCCUCCUACGGAUUGAUAAACCUUAGGUCAUCCACUUGAGGGAAAUUUGCUACUGUCCUACAAACCUCUGCACUUGGAGGCCCAACAACGUCUACAAGAAGAAGGUUGUGUAGUAGACAUCAAGCUCUUUUCUGGCGUCGUUGCCGAGGAGGUGAGUGCUUGAAGGUAUAUCUUUAGAUCUUGCAAUCGAAUCUUUUUGUUUCUUGUUUUAGCACUAGUUUAGUUUAUAAAAGAAAACUACAAAAAAAUGGAAUUGAGUUUACCUCACACGCUUCAUCUUUUUAAUAUCUUUCGUGAGUAUGAUGGAAAGAAAAAUUGUGCCAAAGUGUUAGAAGAAGAAUGCAUUAAAAUGUUUGGCAUUAAAUAUUUGAAUGAUGAGCAUUAUUGCAAUGUUGUUAGUAUGAAUUCCUUGAAUAUCCAUAGUACUAAUGAUGAUUGCACUAGUUAUGAUGAAAAUGUCUCAUGUAAACAUGUCAAUUUUUGUGGAGUGCAUUGGGUUUGCAAGUACACACCAAUUAGGGAAGAUAGAUUUUGCAAGAGGCAUAAGUACUUAGAAACUAAAUUGUUGCAAGAAAGGCUAGAUGAAUGUGCUGAAAAUUUAAAUUUUCUUGGCCAUACUUGUGAGCUUUGCAAUGAACAUGGUCAUUUAACCAUCCAAUGCAAAUUGUUUCAUGAUCUAAUCGUUUCCAAAAAUUGUGAUGACUUGAUUUCCCUUGCACAUCAUAAUGAACGUAGUUUGCUUAUGGGUUAUGAAGAAAUGAAACGUAUAACUAACUAUCUUCCAGUAUUUGCCCGUGAUAAACUUCUUGGCUUUGAUCUAGAGGAAAUUUAUAUGUAUUGUGCGGUGAAUUGCAUUGAAAACCCCUAUAUUUUUUGAAAACCCCUAUAUUGCCAAUUACAUAAAGAAAAGAAAACAAAUAGAGGAUGAAUAGAAUACUAAUGAAAGGGAAGAGACCUCCCAAUAUCCUCCUAUUAUUUCUUAUGAUGAACCAGGUAACGAGGAGGAGCCUCCUAUUCAACCAAUCUCAUUAAUAAGGAGCUCCAAAAAGAGGAUUGAACCCACACACGAUGUAGUGAAGAAGAAGAAAAGAAAGAGGAAGAGAGGUAAAAAGAUAUCUCUCCCAAAUAAUGCUGCUCCUAUUACUAUUGUGCCUCAUGAAAAUAUAAUUGUGGAAGAUAAUGAUACUUCUUAUGAUCUUGAAAAUCCUUUUGGCACUUGCUUGGAAGAAUAUGAUAAUUGCUAUACUAUUGGUGCUAUCCAUACUAUUAAUGAUGAGAGUGAUUAUGCUUAUGAUAUGAAAAGGCCCAAGCUUUGGGAUGCUAUGUUUGAUGAAGAUGAUGUUUUUGAGAAUAUAUUUGCUACAAUUAAUGUUUGUCCCAAGCUUGGGGAUGCUACGUUUAAUCAAGAUGAUAUUUUUAGUCUCCCAAGUUUUGAUAUGCAAAUUUACACUACUGGAAUCAGCUACUUUGCCAUCUGCCAGCUCUUUGCUGUCCGCUAGCGGACGGCAAAGAAGCUCUUUGCCAUCAGCUACCAAAAAGCAGACGGCAACGAACUGGCUGAUGGCAAAGACCUUCUUUGCCAUCAGCCAGUUCUUUGCCGUCUGCUAGCGGACGGCAAAGAUUCUUUGCCGUCGGCUAGCAGACGGCAAAGAGGGAGGGGGGACCCACUGACGAGCUGGUUAAAAAAAACUUAAUGCCCCCCUCUUUGCCGUCUGCUAGCAGACGGCAAAGAGUAAGUAAGCGGACGGCAAAGGGGGGCGGACGGCAACCGUUUAGGUUACUAACGGCGCCCCACCCUGCCCGGCCCAUCUCUCUCUGUUCCCUCUCCUCCCCGACGACCACCGCCACNNNNNNNNNNNNNNNNNNNNNNNNNNNNNNNNNNNNNNNNNNNNNNNNNNNNNNNNNNNNNNNNNNNNNNNNNNNNNNNNNNNNNNNNNNNNNNNNNNNNGUCUUGUCGGUGGUGUACUUGGUGCUUGAGGUUCUGAUCCGGGGGUGCAUGCGUCCACGGUAACACUGCAUGGUGCGUAGAGGCGAUAACUUGGGCGGUGCUGGGCAUCGGGAUCAGGAGCGUGCUCACGCGGUUCCUCCUCUUCGCUGGCAGAGGUGACGCCGGUUGAAGGAGAGGAAACAGCGGCGCGAUGCAUGGGCUUGGCGAGGCGGGUACCGCGUGGGAAGGACGGAGUCAAGGAGCAUCGGCGAGCGGGACUUGGCGAAGGGCGACGCGACAAAGGACUUGGCGCAGAGAAGGCACUUCUCGUCGUCCUCCCGCUCGAUGCAGAGGAGGCAACGGCGCUAGUCUGCGGGGCUCCGACGGGAGAGUCUUGAGGCGCAGGGGUGGCGCGCUUGAGCAAAUCCGACUGGGACGGGGCACCGGAAAAGGGACGGCGACAGCUUGGCGAAACUUGGGGACGAACUCGCGGCGACGAGGCGUCUCGUGCAGAGAACGAGCGGGCCAGGCAGGGAACCCAGCGCCCGAUGGCGCGGCGACGGACUUGGUACAAG